rnacentral:piRNA from 1 species
UCUGGCUGAAUUUAAGAUUCU